GAUGAACGCUGGCGGCGUGCCUAAUACAUGCAAGUCGAGCGAACAGACGAGGAGCUUGCUCCUUCGACGUUAGCGGCGGACGGGUGAGUAACACGUAGGUAACCUACCUAUAAGACUGGGAUAACUUCGGGAAACCGGAGCUAAUACCGGAUAAUAUUUCGAACCGCAUGGUUCGAUAGUGAAAGAUGGCUUUGCUAUCACUUAUAGAUGGACCUGCGCCGUAUUAGCUAGUUGGUAAGGUAACGGCUUACCAAGGCAACGAUACGUAGCCGACCUGAGAGGGUGCUCGGCCACACAGGAACUGAGACACGGUCCAGACUCCUACGGGAGGCAGCAGUAGGGAAUCUUCCGCAAUGGGCGAAAGCCUGACGGAGCAACGCCGCGUGAGUGAUGAAGGUCUUCGGAUCGUAAAACUCUGUUAUUAGGGAAGAACAAACGUGUAAGUAACUGUGCACGUCUUGACGGUACCUAAUCAGAAAGCCACGGCUAACUACGUG
rnacentral:rRNA from 1 species